GUGUUAGUAGUGUACAUAGUGGGAGCCUAAUUAAUUCAUAAGGAAUAUCUUUUAGGUUUUGUAUUCUUGGAUGUAACCUAACAGCAAUCGGCUCAUCCACAUGGUUGAACGGUUUACCCAUGGUGCUACCGCUGUAUAAGGGCAUGCGUCAUAUUGGCCCAUGAAUACGAAUCUUAUAGAACUUAUGAAUUAUUAUUGACUCUCACUCAAGAUAUUAUAGUGUGUAACUCAAUCGGUUUAUAAUUCUCAUAUUUGAGGUUCUCGUAUACAUGGAUGUAACCUAACAGUAA